rnacentral:rRNA from 1 species
UUGACCUCGGAUCAGGUAGGGAAUACCCGCUGAACUUAAGCAUAUCAUUUA